rnacentral:rRNA from 1 species
UCUAAUUGAAGAGUUUGAUCAUGGCUCAGAUUGAACGCUGGCGGCAGGCCUAACACAUGCAAGUCGAGCGGCAGCGACAACA